rnacentral:rRNA from 1 species
AGCAGCCGCGGUAAUUCCAGCUCCAAUAGCGUAUAUUAAAGUUGUUGCAGUUAAAAAGCUCGUAGUUGAAUUUCGGGGUUAGUAGGUUGGUCAUGCCUCUGGUAUGUACUGGUCUCACUGAUUCCUCCUUCCUGAUGAACCUUAAUGCCAUUAAUUUGGUGUUUUGGGGAAUUUGGACUGUUACUUUGAAAAAAUUGAGUGUUUAAAGCAAGCUAACGCUUGAAUACAUUAGCAUGGAAUAAUGAAAUAGGACGUUCGAUCCUAUUUUGUUGGUUUCUAGGAUUGACGUAAUGAUUAAUAGGGAUAGUUGGGGGCAUUAGUAUUCAAUUGUCAGAGGUGAAAUUCUUGGAUUUAUUGAAGACUAACUACUGCGAAAGCAUUUGCCAAGGAUGUUUUCAUUAAUCAAGAACGAAAGUUAGGGGAUCGAAGACGAUCAGAUACCGUCGUAGUCUUAACCAUAAACUAUGCCGACUAGGGAUCGGAUGAUGUUAAUUUUUUAAUGACUCAUUCGGCGCCUUAC